rnacentral:rRNA from 1 species
GACGAACGCUGGCGGCGUGCUUAACACAUGCAAGUCGAGGGCGGUAGCAAUACCGACCGGCGAACGGGUGCGUAACACGUGAGCGACCUACCGAGGUGUGGGGAUAGUCGACCUAACGGCCGGGUAAUACCACAUACGUUCUCUAAUCGGCAUCGAUUGGAGAGGAAACCUUUCGGGCACUUCGAGGGGCUCGCGGCCUAUCAGCUAGUUGGCGAGGUAAUGGCUCACCAAGGCGACGACGGGUAGCUGGUCUGAGAGGAUGGCCAGCCACAUUGGGACUGAGAAACGGCCCAGACUCCUACGGGAGGCAGCAGUGGGGAAUCUUGCGCAAUGGCCGAAAGGCUGACGCAGCGACGCCGCGUGUGGGAUGAAGCCCUUCGGGGUGUAAACCACUGUUGCCCGGGACGAAUAGCGGAUUUUGAUCCGCCUGACGGUACCGGGUGAGGAAGCACCGGCUAACUCCGUGCCAGCCGCCGCCGUAAUAC